rnacentral:lncRNA from 1 species
UAUUUUCAGGCUGUGAAGUUUGGGUGAGAUCUUGACGGUGGUGGCAGUGGUGGGAUCCAUGCAUGGCCUUGAAAUAUCACACACAGUUCCUUGGAUGGAAGGAGGAGCGGGUCCUGUCCCCCCUUGUCUUGGCUGUCUGGAGGAAGAGGAGAACCAGUCAUUGGUGUGGCCUAAGUCGAACGAGGAACUGUGGUGAGUCUUCUCCCUGACCCCCUUUUCCCACCCAUCCCGACAUAUUUCUUCUGUUUUGCAUUCCCAGUGCCAGGGACUGUUUGUGUGUCAAAUAUGCCAUGAAAUGUGCAUCUUUCCC